UGAAGCCUACGGGGCGCAGCAGUCGGGAAUAUUGCGCAAUGGAGGAAACUCUGACGCAGUGACGCCGCGUAUGGGAAGAAGGUUUUCGGAUUGUAAACCACUCCCUCUAGGGAACCAGAAGUGACAGUACCUAAGGAGGAAGCUCCGGCUAACUAUGUGCCAGCAGCCGCGGUAAUACAUAGGGAGCGAGCGUUAUCCGGAUUUAUUGGGUGUAAAGGGUGCGUAGACGGGAAUACAAGUUGGUUGUGAAAGCCCUCGGCUUAACUGAGGAACUGCAACCAAAACUAUAUUUCUUGAGUAUCGGA
rnacentral:rRNA from 1 species